rnacentral:rRNA from 1 species
AAACGGGUGGUAAUGCUGGAUGCUCCAACUUGACGCAUGUCUUGUUGGGAAAGUGUUAGUGGCAUGGGAUGGGGUCGCGUCCUAUCAGCUUGUAGGCGGGGUAAUGGCCCACCUAGGCUUCGACGGGUAGCCGGCCUGAGAGGGCGGACGGCCACAUUGGGACUGAGAUACGGCCCAGACUCCUACGGGAGGCAGCAGGC